GACGAACGCCGGCGGCGUGCUUAACACAUGCAAGUGGAGCGACGAACCCGAGCUUGCGUCGGGGCAAGCCGCGAACGGGUGAGUAACGACGUGGGUAACCUGCCCUGUUGAUUCGGGACAACCCCGGGAACCGGGCUAAGUACCCGAAAUGUGCUACGCACCACAUCAGUGGAGUGAGGAAAGGAGCUUCGGCUUCCGCAACGGGAUGGGCCCG
rnacentral:rRNA from 1 species